GACGAACGCUGGCGGCGUGCUUAACACAUGCAAGUCGAACGGAAAGACCCUGCUCUUGUGGGGUGCUCGAGUGGCGAACGGGUGAGUAUCACGUGAGUAACCUGCCCUUGACUUUGGGAUAACUUCAGGAAACUGGGGCUCAUACCGGAUAGGAGCUCCUGCUGCAUGGUGGGGGUUGGUAAGUUUCGGCGGUUGGGGAUGGACUCGCGGCUUAUCAGCUUGUUGGUGGGGUAGGGGCUUACCAAGGCUUUGACGGGUAGCCGGCCUGAGAGGGUGACCGGCCACAUUGGGACUGAGAUACGGCCCAGACUCGUACGUGAGGCAGCAGUGGAGAGUAUUGCGCAAUGGGCGGAAGCCUGAUGCAGCAGCGCCGCGUGCGGGAUGACGGCCUUCGGGUUGUAAACCGCUUUCGCCUGUGACGAGGCGUGAGUGACGGUAAUGGAUAAGGAAGCACCGGCUAACUACGUG
rnacentral:rRNA from 1 species